AAAUUGAAGAGUUUGAUCAUGGCUCAGAUUGAACGCUGGCGGCAGGCCUAACACAUGCAAGUCGAACGGUAGCACAGAGAGCUUGCUCUCGGGUGACGAGUGGCGGACGGGUGAGUAAUGUCUGGGAAACUGCCUGAUGGAGGGGGAUAACUACUGGAAACGGUGGCUAAUACCGCAUAACGUCGAAAGACCAAAGAGGGGGACCUUCGGGCCUCUUGCCAUCAGAUGUGCCCAGAUGGGAUUAGCUUGUUGGUGAGGUAACGGCUCACCAAGGCGACGAUCCCUAGCUGGUCUGAGAGGAUGACCAGCCACACUGGAACUGAGACACGGUCCAGACUCCUACGGGAGGCAGCAGUGGGGAAUAUUGCACAAUGGGCGCAAGCCUGAUGCAGCCAUGCCGCGUGUAUGAAGAAGGCCUUCGGGUUGUAAAGUACUUUCAGCGGGGAGGAAGGUGUUGUGGUUAAUAACCGCAGCAAUUGACGUUACCCGCAGAAGAAGCACCGGCUAACUCCGUGCCAGCAGCCGCGGUAAUACGGAGGGUGCAAGCGUUAAUCGGAAUUACUGGGCGUAAAGCGCACGCAGGCGGUCUGUCAAGUCGGAUGUGAAAUCCCCGGGCUCAACCUGGGAACUGCAUUCGAAACUGGCAGGCUUGAGUCUUGUAGAGGGGGGUAGAAUUCCAGGUGUAGCGGUGAAAUGCGUAGAGAUCUGGAGGAAUACCGGUGGCGAAGGCGGCCCCCUGGACAAAGACUGACGCUCAGGUGCGAAAGCGUGGGGAGCAAACAGGAUUAGAUACCCUGGUAGUCCACGCCGUAAACGAUGUCUACUUGGAGGUUGUGCCCUUGAGGCGUGGCUUCCGGAGCUAACGCGUUAAGUAGACCGCCUGGGGAGUACGGCCGCAAGGUUAAAACUCAAAUGAAUUGACGGGGGCCCGCACAAGCGGUGGAGCAUGUGGUUUAAUUCGAUGCAACGCGAAGAACCUUACCUGGUCUUGACAUCCACAGAACUUUCCAGAGAUGGAUUGGUGCCUUCGGGAACUGUGAGACAGGUGCUGCAUGGCUGUCGUCAGCUCGUGUUGUGAAAUGUUGGGUUAAGUCCCGCAACGAGCGCAACCCUUAUCCUUUGUUGCCAGCGAUUAGGUCGGGAACUCAAAGGAGACUGCCAGUGAUAAACUGGAGGAAGGUGGGGAUGACGUCAAGUCAUCAUGGCCCUU
rnacentral:rRNA from 1 species